GUCUACGGCCAAACCCCCCUGAACACACCUGAUCUCAUCUGAUCUCAGAAGCUAAGCAGGGCCAGGCCUGGUUAGUACUUGGAUGGGAGAACAGUGGGAAGAAUAUGGGUGUAGAAC
rnacentral:rRNA from 1 species